GUAAGUCCGAUAUCACAUUAUGUUGUCAGUGUUAACCUGCCAGAUUGCAAUCCACUUUCUCCUUUUCCAGGUAAUUGCUGUGCGAGAAGCCUGGAACAUUGUGCUAUGCAAUGUGUAUUACAUGGGUGGAGCUUUAGGCUCUUUCCUUUGCAUUGUUCAUGACUGAUGGGGCUUUAGCCUCUGUGAAUUAUUCUUAGGGCCUUGUCUUGCAUUUAGUAUGUUUGAUGCCAAAUCAAAGUUUUAAAGCUACAUUCCUAGGUAGGGAGAUCUCUCAUUUGUCCAUUCCAUAUUAUCUUCUAUCAAAUGUACUUUUCUUUGAACUGAAAUCAUAAUUUAAAACAUUCCUCCCUCUAAUUAU